rnacentral:rRNA from 1 species
CGAAAAUCUUUUGCAAGACGUGAUUGGGCGAUGCCGCGUGGAUGAAGACGAUGUCCUGGUGGUCGAGGGAGAUCUCGAUUUGGAGGAAAUAUA